UAGUUUAUUUUCAAACACAUUUUUGUACAGAAACACCAUUUGUUGUAACAUUCAGAAUGAACACAUUUGCUCAAAACGGGUAUUGUUUUGUUACUGUGAUAACACUUCUAAGCAGUGCCUGCGGAUACAUUAUUUUGGAUACAAAAAACUUUGAAGACAUGAUUGACAAUAAUAGCCGUAAAGAUGUAUUUUCCACAGCGGAUGAGUUGGCACUUUUAAAACUAUUGCGCCCUUCCAAAUUUGAUGAUUUAUUGCUAGCUAAUUCAAAUGCAUUGGAUAAGCGGAUUGACGACAGUUUUGUGGAUGGAAAUAGACAAAAGAUGACGGACUAUGAAGUGCAAUCGAAACGACUUGCAUGCAUUCAAUAUGGUUGUAAACCUGGAAAGUAAGAAGUAUAAAGAUCAUACUCAAUAUUGAUAACAACUAUGGAAGAAGAAUAACUGCCAUAUUUAAAUAUAACUUUAAAAUAUCACAAUUAGAUAUCUUAGAGAAUUAAUGAAAGCUAUAAACUGCUGUGUAUUGAUAUAUAGUUAAUGUCUACUUAUAGGUACUUAAUGUACACGUGUUAACAUACUAUUGUUCAACAAUAAAGCAA